CCCUUAGAUGUUCUGGGCCGCACGCGCGCUACACUGACGAAGUCAGCGAGCAUGUCCUACACCGACAGGUGCGGGGAAUCUUGUCAAACUUCGUCGUGAUGGGGAUUGAUUUUUGAAAUUCUUGAUCAUAAACGAGGAAUUCCUAGUAAGCGCAAGUCAGCAGCUUGCGUUGAUUACGUCCCUGCCCUUUGUACACACCGCCCGUCGCUACUACCGAUUGAAUGGUUUAGUGAGAUCUUCGGAUUGGCGCCACUGCAGCUCAGCAAUGGGCUUGGUGGAUGCCGAAAAGUUGAUCAAACUUGAUCAUUUAGAGGAAGUAAAAGUCGUAACA
rnacentral:rRNA from 1 species